rnacentral:rRNA from 1 species
UACGUAGGGUGCGAGCGUUGUCCGGAAUUACUGGGCGUAAAGCGCACGUAGGCGGCUUUCUGAGUCGGGGGUGAAAUCCUGGAGCUCAACUCCAGAACUGCCUUCGAUACUGGAAAGCUCGAGUCCGGGAGAGGUGAGUGGAACUGCGAGUGUAGAGGUGAAAUUCGUAGAUAUUCGCAAGGACACCAGUGGCGAAGGCGGCUCACUGGCCCGGUACUGACGCUGAGGUGCGAAAGCGUGGGGAGCAAACAGG